GGAGAAGUACUCAAGAGGUCGAAGAGGCUCCCCUGCUAAGGGAGUAGGUCCUUCACGGGGCGCGAGGGUUCAAAUCCCUCCUUCUCCGCCA
rnacentral:tRNA from 1 species